AGCUAUAUAUUGUAUUGACCAUGACAUUUUAUUUUUUUCGGCAAGCCAAAGUUAAUACACCCUUGCAGCUAUUAAAAAACCAUAAAAUAAAACGACUGUAUUCUUAUGCGUACAUGUUAAAAAUAAUGAAGCUAUGUCGAUUUUCCAAAACAUUUUUAUCGUUCCUAUGGUAGUUAUAAAAAAUAAUUUAAUUUAAAAAAACGAGGCUUUUAUUAUUUUGUAUUUGUUUUUCCGAUUCUUCCUAUGGGAGCGUUGCAAGCUUUUGCCUGAAAUUAUAGUACUCUCUGCGAGGGUAUACAAACUUAUAUACAACACAUUUCAAUUCACUGAUAACAGCUUUCAGAAGGCAUAACAUUCUGUUGUACUGGGGCUCAAUUGCUUAUUUUAAAACGAAUUCUCAGCAAGUAAAUGGCUGUUUAAUAUAUAUAAAAUGUAUAGUUCAACAUAAUGUUGUUUUUCACAAUUUCAAGAUUGUGAGUAAGCUUGAAUCAGCCAAGGAUAUUUUAAAUAAUAAAUUCAGAUCAACCACUUACCAAUAAACUUGGAAAAUUCAUAUUAACAAAGGGUAAUAAGGUUCCCCAAAUAUACAUUUUAAAAGACAAGGCAGGAGGGCAAUACUUAAUAACAAAAUCAACAUAACACAAGAAAGGAAACAAACUUCAGCAAGCCGAAGUUUAUAUACCCUUGCAGUUGUUACAAAUCUACUACAUUUCGAUUUCUAUGCCUAUAUGACUAAAAACAAGA